rnacentral:rRNA from 1 species
AGCUAUAUGUCUAUAUAUUUAGUUUUUUUUGCCCAGUGAUUAUUUAACGGCCGCAGUACUUUGACUGUGCUAAGGUAGCAUAAUCAAUUGACUUUUAAUUGAAGUCUAGAAUGAAUGGGAAAAUGGGUUAAAGCUGUUUCUUUAAAAAUUAUUAAAAAUUACUAUAAAGGUGAAAAUACCUUUUUUAAAAAAAAAGACGAGAAGACCCUUAGAGUUUUUUUGUUGGGGUGACAAAUAAGCUAACCUUAUUUAAUGAAAAAAUAAACUACCUAAGGGAUAACAGCAUAAUUUUUUUUUAAGAUUAUGACCUCGAUGUUGGACUAGGAAAUUAAUAAUUAAAAAUUAAAUUUUAUAGUUCUGUUCGAACUUUUUCUCCU